rnacentral:rRNA from 1 species
GAUGAACGCUGGCGGCGUGCUUAACACAUGCAAGUCGAACGGAAAGGCCCAAGCUUGCUUGGGUACUCGAGCGGCGAACGGGUGAGUAACACGUGGGUGAUCUGCCCUGCACUUCGGGAUAAGCCUGGGAAACUGGGUCUAAUACCGGAUAGGACGAUGGUUUGGAUGCCAUUGUGGAAAGUUUUUUCGGUGUGGGAUGAGCUCGCGGCCUAUCAGCUUGUUGGUGGGGUAAUGGCCUACCAAGGCGUCGACGGGUAGCCGGCCUGAGAGGGUGUACGGCCACAUUGGGACUGAGAGACGGCCCAGACUCCUACGGGAGGCAGCAGUGGGGAAUAUUGCACAAUGGGCGCAAGCCUGAUGCAGCGACGCCGCGUGGGGGAUGACGGCCUUCGGGUUGUAAACUCCUUUCGCUAGGGACGAAGCGUUUUUGUGACGGUACCUGGAGAAGAAGCACCGGCUAACUACGUG